rnacentral:rRNA from 1 species
UGCAGUCGAGCGGAACGAUCCUAGCUUGCUAGGAGGCGUCGAGCGGCGGACGGGUGAGUAAUGCAUAGGAAUCUGCCCGAUAGUGGGGGAUAACCUGAGGAAACUCAGGCUAAUACCGCAUACGUCCUACGGGAGAAAGCAGGGGCUCUUCGGACCUUGCGCUAUCGGAUGAGCUUAUGUCGGAUUAGCUGGUUGGUGAGGUAACGGCUCACCAAGGCGACGAUCCGUAGCUGGUCUGAGAGGAUGAUCAGCCACAUCGGGACUGAGACACGGCCCGAACUCCUACGGGAGGCAGCAGUGGGGAAUAUUGGACAAUGGGGGCAACCCUGAUCCAGCCAUGCCGCGUGUGUGAAGAAGGCCCUCGGGUUGUAAAGCACUUUCAGUGAGGAAGAAGGCUUGUCGGUUAAUACCCGGCAAGGGAGACAUCACUCACAGAAGAAGCACCGGCUAACUCCGUGCCAGCAGCCGCGGUAAUACGGAGGGUGCGAGCGUUAAUCGGAAUUACUGGGCGUAAAGCGUGCGUAGGCGGCUUGAUAAGCCGGUUGUGAAAGCCCCGGGCUCAACCUGGGAACGGCAUCCGGAACUGUCAGGCUAGAGUGCAGGAGAGGAAGGUAGAAUUCCCGGUGUAGCGGUGAAAUGCGUAGAGAUCGGGAGGAAUACCAGUGGCGAAGGCGGCCUUCUGGACUGACACUGACGCUGAGGUACGAAAGCGUGGGUAGCAAACAGGAUUAGAUACCCUGGUAGUCCACGCCGUAAACGAUGUCGACUAGCCGUUGGGGUCCUCGAGACCUUUUGUGGCGCAGUUAACGCACUAAGUCGACCGCCUGGGGAGUACGGCCGCAAGGUUAAAACUCAAUGAAUUGACGGGGCCCGCACAGCGGUGGAGCAUGGUGGUUUAAUUCGAUGCACGCGAGACUUACUACCCUUGACAUCGUGC